rnacentral:rRNA from 1 species
UACGUAGGGUGCAAGCGUUAAUCGGAAUUACUGGGCGUAAAGCGUGCGCAGGCGGUUAUGCAAGUCCGAGGUGAAAUCCCCGGGCUCAACCUGGGAACUGCCUUUGUGACUGCAUAGCUAGAGUACGGUAGAGGGGGAUGGAAUUCCGCGUGUAGCAGUGAAAUGCGUAGAUAUGCGGAGGAACACCGAUGGCGAAGGCAAUCCCCUGGACCUGUACUGACGCUCAUGCACGAAAGCGUGGGGAGCAAACAGG